rnacentral:rRNA from 1 species
GCUAGGAAUCUUGGGAAUGGGCGAAAGCCUGACCCAGCAACGCCGCGUGGGCGAUGAAGGCCUUCGGGUCGUAAAGCCCUUUUGUAGGGGACGAUAAUGACGGUACCCUGCGAAUAAGCCACGGCUAACUACGUGCCAGCAGCCGCGGUAAUACGUAGGUGGCAAGCGUUGUCCGGAUUUACUGGGCGUAAAGGGCGUGCAGGCGGUCUGUUAAGUCUAGGGUGAAAGCUCCCGGCUCAACUGGGAGAGGUCCUUGGAUACUGGCGGACUUGAGGGAGGUAGAGGAGAGUGGAAUUCCCGGUGUAGUGGUGAUAUGCGUAGAUAUCGGGAGGAACACCAGUGGCGAAGGCGGCUCUCUGGGCCUUUCCUGACGCUGAGACGCGAAAGCGUGGGGAGCGAACCGGAUUAGAAACCCUAGUAGUCC